GAUGAACGCUAGCUACAGGCUUAACACAUGCAAGUCGAGGGACCGGCUCACGGGUGAGUAACACGUAUCCAACCUGCCCUUUACUCGGGAAUAGCCUUUCGAUAGCAAGAUUAAUACCCUAUCUAAAUGCUGGGGAGGCGUUCCAUUAGGUUGUUGUUGAGUUACCGGCUCACCAACCCUUCGAUGGUUAGGGGUUCUGAGAGGAAGGUCCCCCACAUUGGAACGGAGACACGGUCCAAACUCCUACGGGAGGCAGCAGUGAGGAAUAUUGGUCAAUGGGCGCUAGCCUGAACCAGCCAAGUAGCGUGAAGGAUGAAGGCUUAUGGGUCGUAAACUUCUUUUAUAUAAGAAUAUGUAUUAUAUGAAUAAGGAUCGGCUAACUCCGUGCCAGCAGCCGCGGUAAGUC
rnacentral:rRNA from 1 species